rnacentral:rRNA from 1 species
GAUUAGAUACCCUGGUAGUCCACGCCGUAAACGGUGGGCACUAGGUGUGGGGGCCAUUCCACGGUCUCUGUGCCGCAGCUAACGCAUUAAGUGCCCCGCCUGGGGAGUACGGCCGCAAGGCUAAAACUCAAAGGAUUGACGGGGGCCCGCACAAGCGGCGGAGCAUGUGGAUUAAUUCGAUGCAACGCGAAGAACCUUACCUGGGUUUGACAUGCACUAGACGCUGGUAGAGAUAUCAGUUCCCUUGUGGCUGGUGUGCAGGUGGUGCAUGGCUGUCGUCAGCUCGUGUCGUGAGAUGUUGGGUUAAGUCCCGCAACGAGCGCAACCCUCGUUCCAUGUUGCCAGCGGGUUAUGCCGGGGACUCAUGGGAGACUGCCGGGGUCAACUCGGAGGAAGGUGGGGAUGACGUCAAGUCAUCAUGCCCCUUAUGUCCAGGGCUUCACACAUGCUACAAUGGCCAGUACAGAGGGCUGCGAGACCGCGAGGUGGAGCGAAUCCCUUAAAGCUGGUCUCAGUUCGGAUCGGGGUCUGCAACUCGACCCCUGAAGUUGGAGUCG